rnacentral:rRNA from 1 species
GACAGAGGAUGCAAGCGUUAUCCGGAAUGAUUGGGCGUAAAGCGUCUGUAGGUGGCUUUUUAAGUCCGCCGUCAAAUCCCAGGGCUCAACCCUGGACAGGCGGUGGAAACUACCAAGCUGGAGUACGGUAGGGGCAGAGGGAAUUUCCGGUGGAGCGGUGAAAUGCGUAGAUAUCAAGUGGAACACCAGUGGCGAAGGCGAGUCUCUGGACAUUUCCUGACGCUGAGGCACGAAAGCCAGGGGAGCAAACGGG